ACUCCUACGGGAGGCAGCAGUGGGGAAUAUUGGACAAUGGGCGAAAGCCUGAUCCAGCAAUGCCGCGUGAGUGAUGAAGGCCUUAGGGUUGUAAAGCUCCUUUACCCGGGAUGAUAAUGACAGUACCGGGAGAAUAAGCUCCGGCUAACUCCGUGCCAGCAGCCGCGGUAAUACGGAGGGAGCUAGCGUUGUUCGGAAUUACUGGGCGUAAAGCGCACGUAGGCGGCUUUGUAAGUUAGAGGUGAAAGCCUGGAGCUCAACUCCAGAAUUGCCUUUAAGACUGCAUCGCUUGAAUCCAGGAGAGGUGAGUGGAAUUCCGAGUGUAGAGGUGAAAUUCGUAGAUAUUCGGAAGAACACCAGUGGCGGAGGCGGCUCACUGGACUGGUAUUGACGCUGUGGUGCGAAAGCSUGGGGAGCAAAUAGGAUUAGAUACCCUGGUAGUCCACSCCGUAAACGACGAUAACUAGCUGUCCGGGGACUUGGUCUUUGGGUGGCSCAGCUAACGCAUUAAGUUAUCCGCCUGGGGAGUACGGCCGCAAGGUUAAAACUCAAAUGAAUUGACGG
rnacentral:rRNA from 1 species